rnacentral:rRNA from 1 species
UACGGAGGGUGCGAGCGUUAUCCGGAUUCACUGGGUUUAAAGGGUGCGUAGGUGGGAAUGUAAGUCAGUGGUGAAAUCUCCGUGCUUAACACGGAAACUGCCAUUGAUACUAUGUUUCUUGAAUUUUCUGGAGGUUAGCGGAAUAAUGUCUGUAGCGGUGAAAUGCUUAGAUAUGAACAUAGAACACCGAUUGCGAAGGCAGCUAACUACAGGGAUAUUGACACUGAGGCACGAAAGCGUGGGGAUCAAACAGG